GACGAACGCUGGCGGCGUGCUUAACACAUGCAAGUCGAACGGAAAGGCCCUGCUUUUGUGGGGUGCUCGAGUGGCGAACGGGUGAGUAACACGUGAGUAACCUGCCCUUGACUUUGGGAUAACUUCAGGAAACUGGGGCUAAUACCGGAUAGGAGCUCCUGCUGCAUGGUGGGGGUUGGAAAGUUUCGGCGGUUGGGGAUGGACUCGCGGCUUAUCAGCUUGUUGGUGGGGUAGUGGCUUACCAAGGCUUUGACGGGUAGCCGGCCUGAGAGGGUGACCGGCCACAUUGGGACUGAGAUACGGCCCAGACUCCUCCGGGAGGCAGCAGUGGGGAAUAUUGCACAAUGGGCGGAAGCCUGAUGCAGCAACGCCGCGUGCGGGAUGACGGCAUUCGGGUUGUAAACCGCUUUCGCCUGUGACGAAGCGUGAGUGACGGUAAUGGGUAAAGAAGCACCGGCUAACUACGUG
rnacentral:rRNA from 1 species